UUUUUUUUUUGCAGGAGUGGAAUGAUCUGAUGGAAAGAACAAAGUUUUAGAGACAGAGGUCCGGCUGUGUGACCUUGAGGGAGGAAGUCCUGUGUCUUUGCCCAGUGGACCCCCAUCUCUGGAUCUGCCCGCAGCUUUGGGAAGUACCCACAGUUCCUGGGAUCACACCACCACCCACGGAGAAAUCCCGGAGCUGCUCUCCUCUGAUGGCCACGGUGACGCUGGACCCCAUUCUUCCUUCCACGGCCCUGGAGACUCUCCCACUCCUUCGUGAAGCCCAUCACAACAUGCCCUG